AGCAAGGAAGCAUUCAAGAAGAUUCAAUCGUGCCAUUGUACAAGGCUGAGUUUUGGUCAUGCAACUGGAUUCCAAUUGACCCCGUGAAAGCAAAAUUACUGUGUUUUGAUGGUACGGGUUGGCUCACAAAAGCCUUCUUGUUCCACCUCCCUGACCAUCUCUGUCAACAACAAAACACACACCCCAACGCAACACUCUGCUGGUUGUCUGAGACAACGAGCGAAGUAGCAGAACUGCAAGCAACACACAUCACUCUUUUGUCUAUUAAGAACAAUGGGAGCAGAUUUUAAGAUAAUGAAGUAUAUUUGCUACACAUACUUUGCUUCCCAGAAGACUUGCCUGGGUGUACGUUCUCAGCUUUUCCUAUUACAUUCCUUUUACAGUAUGAUUUCAACAACCACUCAAAAUGUGGAGCUUUGGAUUGUAUAGACCAGGGUUUGGAAAAUCUCGUAAAAUUACCCAAUCUGCUGCUUCAGGACAGCUAACAUCAAAAACGUCAUCAAAAAAGGACAACAAAGAAUGUUCUUUCUGCGCCAACUCAGAAAGCUCAAACUGCCCAAGGAGCUGCUGAUCCAGUUCUACAGAGGAAUUAUUGAGUCUGUCAUCUGCACCUCCAUAACUGUCUGGUUUGGCUCUGCAACUCAAACAAGACAGACACAGACUUCAGAGGAUAAUUAGAACUGCAGGGGAAAAAACAAUUGUUACCAACCUGCCUUCCGUUAAGGAUCUGUCUACUGCAUGAGUCAAAAAGAGGGCUGUGAAAAUAUCUACAGACCCCUCACACCCUGGACAUAAAUUCUUUCAACGUCUACCCUCAAAACGACUAUAGGGUACUGAGCACCAGAACAAUUACACAGAAGGACACUCUGCUAAACAACUAAUUCCCACAACACUGUCAAACUUUUUACUAAGAAUGUAAUGCUAUUUAUCUUCUCAUCCUUCCUAUUAACUAUCUCCUUUUCUACUUAUGACUAUAACUUUGUUGCUUGUAUCUUUACGAUUUAUACUGGUAUUGAUUGUUUCCUGAUUGCUUAUUUGUGGCCUAUGACUAUCAUUAAGUAUUGUAUCAUUAAGUGUUAAAUUGAUGAACGUAACUUUUCUUUUAUGUACACUGAGAGCAUAUGCACCAAGACAAAUUCCUUGUGUGUCCAAUCACACUUGGCCAAUAAAAUUCUAUUCUAUUCUAUUCUAUUCUAUUCUAAAUUGUACCCUAUGACUAUCAUUAAGUGUUGUAAGUGUUGUACCUUAUGAUUCUUGAUGAAGAUAUCUUUUCUUUUAUGUACACUGAGAGCAUAUGCACCAAGACAAAUUCCUUGUGUGUCCAAUCACACUUGGUCAAUAAAAAAAUUCUAUUCUAUUCUAUUCUAUUCUAUUCUAUUCUAUUCUAUUCUAUUCUAUUCCUAGUAUGAUCUUUGUUGAUUACUUAUUUAGUAUCCUAUGACUAUCACUAAGUAUUGAAUCUUUUGAUUCAUUAUGAAAGCAUUUAUUAUGAUCAUGAUUUAUCACUUCAUCUUUUAUGUACACUGAGAACUUAUGUACCGAAGAUAUAUUCCUUGUGUAUCCAAUCACACUUGGUCAAUAAAAAAUUCUAUCUA